GUGGGAGCAAACAGGAUUAGAUACCUGGUAGUCACGCUGUAAACGAUGUCGAUUUGGAGGUUGUUCCCUUGAGGAGUGGCUUCCGGAGCUAACGCGUUAAAUCGACCGCCUGGGGAGUACGGCCGCAAGGUUAAAACUCAAAUGAAUUGACGGGGGCCCGCACAAGCGGUGGAGCAUGUGGUUUAAUUCGAUGCAACGCGAAGAACCUUACCUACUCUUGACAUCCAGAGAAUUUAGCAGAGAUGCUUUAGUGCCUUCGGGAACUCUGAGACAGGUGCUGCAUGGCUGUCGUCAGCUCGUGUUGUGAAAUGUUGGGUUAAGUCCCGCAACGAGCGCAACCCUUAUCCUUUGUUGCCAGCACAUUAUGGUGGGAACUCAAAGGAGACUGCCGGUGAUAAACCGGAGGAAGGUGGGGAUGACGUCAAGUCAUCAUGGCCCUUACGAGUAGGGCUACACACGUGCUACAAUGGCGUAUACAAAGAGAAGCGACCUCGCGAGAGCAAGCGGAACUCAUAAAGUACGUCGUAGUCCGGAUUGGAGUCUGCAACUCGACUCCAUGAAGUCGGAAUCGCUAGUAAUCGUAGAUCAGAAUGCUACGGUGAAUACGUUCCCGGGCCUUGUACACACCGCCCGUCACACCAUGGGAGUGGGUUGCAAAAGAAGUAGGUAGCUUAACCUUCGGGAGGGCGCUUACCACUUUGUGAUUCAUGACUGGGGUGAAGUCGUAACAAGGUAACCA
rnacentral:rRNA from 1 species